rnacentral:lncRNA from 12 species
AUUCUUCUACUUCUAUUCACACUGCGUGACUGCAGUUGCUAUUUAAUUCUAAUGUUUUCAGCUCUUCUUCAGCUGAAGGACCAUGCAGAGCACCAGGCCAGGAAGCAGCGAGCUGGAGUUCAUCACAUUCUCCCCCCUCGCUCACUUUAGUAACCUUGAUUUGGGCACAGUUAGCAAGCCAACCAGAGACUUGCAUCAUCUGACAGGGGGAUCUAUGCCAAAUACGUAAGUAUUACGUGUCUUGUACUAUUAUACAUUCUUCAUUUAUGCAAUUAAAUGAAGACUUCACAUUUUAUUUGUCUGUGCGUUUAAACUUAAAAGCUGGGAUAGAAGAUGCAUGAGGAAGCAGAGGAGAAGGACAGAUGAUGAAAGCUGCGGUCCUAAACGGCGAAAGCUGAUGGGAGAAGAAGGAGCAGAUGAGUAUCCAAGUCCUAAAGUGAGCCAAAGAUGGUCUGUGGACUCUACCACCACUUCCCCUCCUGAGACCAACCCGGUUCAGCUUCAGACUGAACCCAGAACAGAGGAGAUGGGUCUGCCCUUCACAUCCACUCCCUCUCCACUACCCAGAGUUCCCACAGAAGGCUCAGGCAUGGAGGUAGAGGCCACUCAGAGGAGACUGCAAGAGAUAGAAGACAGGAUAACUUUGAAGGAUGAUAGCGAUGAAGAAGAGCUUGAUGUGGAACCGGCUCAGCGCAGACCAGUGCUGGUGAUGUCCGACAGCUUAAGGGAGGGGCUACAACGUGGGAUUGGUGACAUUCUACCCCAUACGGUAGCACAGUCAGUGAGCUGCUCUUGUAUGGAAUUGGUGUUGUGGCGCCCCCCUGAGGACCCUCUCACCCAGAGGCUGAAGGACUCUUUACAGAGACAGCAGCGCAAGCAGUUGGCAGUGAGCAGACAGACUCCCACCCCUGUACCGCCUAUCAGCAGCCCCCCACCCCAGCCCCAGUUCACAGCACCCAAUGAGCAGACUUUUAGCCCCCUGUUCAGUAGCCCAGCACUCCUCAACUCUGGAGAGGAAGACAUGGAGCUAUAG